rnacentral:rRNA from 1 species
UACGUAGGGUGCGAGCGUUGUCCGGAAUUAUUGGGCGUAAAGAGCUUGUAGGCGGUUUGUCGCGUCUGCUGUGAAAAUCCGGGGCUCAACCCCGGACUUGCAGUGGGUACGGGCAGACUAGAGUGUGGUAGGGGGAGACUGGAAUUCCUGGUGUAGCGGUGGAAUGCGCAGAUAUCAGGAGGAACACCGGUGGCGAAGGCGGGUCUCUGGGCCGAUACUGACACUGAGGAGCGAAAGCGUGGGGAGCGAACAGG